rnacentral:rRNA from 1 species
CAUGCAGUCGAGCGCCCCGCAAGGGGAGCGGCAGACGGGUGAGUAACGCGUGGGAAUCUACCCAUCACUACGGAACAACUCCGGGAAACUGAAGCUAAUACCGUAUACGUCCUUCGGGAGAAAGAUUUAUCGGUGAUGGAUGAGCCCGCGUUGGAUUAGCUAGUUGGUGGGGUAAUGGCCUACCAAGGCGACGAUCCAUAGCUGGUCUGAGAGGAUGAUCAGCCACACUGGGACUGAGACACGGCCCAGACUCCUACGGGAGGCAGCAGUGGGGAAUAUUGGACAAUGGGCGCAAGCCUGAUCCAGCCAUGCCGCGUGAGUGAUGAAGGCCCUAGGGUUGUAAAGCUCUUUCAACGGUGAAGAUAAUGACGGUAACCGUAGAAGAAGCCCCGGCUAACUUCGUGCCAGCAGCC